rnacentral:rRNA from 1 species
GGGGAAUUUUGGACAAUGGGCGCAAGCCUGAUCCAGCAAUGCCGCGUGCAGGAUGAAGGCCUUCGGGUUGUAAACUGCUUUUGUACGGAGCGAAACGGCUCUCUUUAAUAUAGGGGGCUAAUGACGGUACCGUAAGAAUAAGCACCGGCUAACUACGUGCCAGCAGCCGCGGUAAUACGUAGGGUGUAAGCGUUAAUCGGAAUUACUGGGCGUAAAGCGUGCGCAGGCGGUUUUGUAAGACAGAUGUGAAAUCCCCGGGCUAAACCUGGGCCCUGCAUUUGUGACUGCAAAGCUAGAGUACGGCAGAGGGGGAUGGAAUUCCGCGUGUAGCAGUGAAAUGCGUAGAUAUGCGGAGGAACACCGAUGGUGAAGGCAAUCCCCUGGGCCUGUACUGACGCUCAUGCACGAAAGCGUGGGGAGCAAAC